rnacentral:tRNA from 1 species
UGGCUCAGAGGUUAAAGCGCCUGCCUGGAAUGCAGGAGACCCAGGUUCGAUCCCUGG